GUGGCGAACGGGUGAGUAACACGUGAGCAACCUGCCCCGGACUCUGGGAUAACAGCUGGAAACAGCUGCUAAUACCGGAUACGAGCUGCGAAGGCAUCUUCAGCAGCUGGAAAGAACUUCGGUCCGGGAUGGGCUCGCGGCCUAUCAGCUAGUUGGUGAGGUAACGGCUCACCAAGGCGUCGACGGGUAGCCGGCCUGAGGGGGUGACCGGCCACACUGGGACUGGGACACGGCCCAGACUCCUACGGGAGGCAGCAGUGGGGAAUAUUGCACAAUGGGCGAAAGCCUGAUGCAGCAACGCCGCGUGAGGGACGACGGCCUUCGGGUUGUAAACCUCUUUUAGCAGGAAAGAAGCGAAAGUGACGGUACCUGCAGAAAAAGCGCCGGCUAACUACGUGCCAGCAGCCGCGGUAAUACGUAGGGCGCAAGCGUUAUCCGGAAUUAUUGGGCGUAAAGAGCUCGUAGGCGGUCUGUCGCGUCUGCUGUGAAAACCCGAGGCUCAACCUCGGGCCUGCAGUGGGUACGGGCAGACUAGAGUGCGGUAGGGGAGAUUGGAAUUCCUGGUGUAGCGGUGGAAUGCGCAGAUAUCAGGAGGAACACCGAUGGCGAAGGCAGAUCUCUGGGCCGUAACUGACGCUGAGGAGCGAAAGGGUGGGGAGCAAACAGGCUUAGAUACCCUGGUAGUCCAC
rnacentral:rRNA from 1 species